UACGAAGGGGGCUAGCGUUGUUCGGAAUUACUGGGCGUAAAGCGCACGUAGGCGGCUUUCCAAGUUGGAGGUGAAAUCCCUGGGCUUAACCCAGGAACUGCCCCCAAGACUGGAAGGCUCGAGUCCGAGAGAGGUGAGUGGAAUUUCCAGUGUAGAGGUGAAAUUCGUAGAUAUUGGAAAGAACACCAGUGGCGAAGGCGGCUCACUGGCUCGGUACUGACGCUGAGGUGCGACAGCGUGGGGAGCAAACAGG
rnacentral:rRNA from 1 species